GAUUAACGCUGGCGGCGUGCAUAACACAUGCAAGUCGAACGAUGAAACUUAAAUGAUUUCUUCGGCAUGAACUUCAGUGGAUUAGUGGCGGACGGGUGAGUAACGCGUGAGUAACCUGCCUUACACAAGGGGAUAGCCGUUGGAAACGACGAAUAAUACCCUAUGAAACUAUCACUUCGCAUGAAGCGAUAGUCAAAGUGUUAGCGGUGUAAGAUGGACUUGCGUCUGAUUAGCUAGUUGGUGAGAAAAAAGCCCACGAAGGCAACGAUCAGUAGCCGGCUUGAGAGAGUGCACGGCGACACUGGGACUGAGACACGGCCCAGACGCCUACGAGAGGCAGCAGUGGGGAAUUUUGCACAAUGGGGGAAACCCUGAUGCAGCGACGCCGCGUGAUUUAGAAGGCCUUCGGGUUGUAAAAAUCUUUUGUAUAGGAAGAAAAUGACAGUACUAUACGAAUAAGGUCCGGCUAAUUACGUG
rnacentral:rRNA from 1 species